UUCUCUGACCAUAGCUUCGGAAACUGAACAGGAUGGAGCCUGGUUAGUAUUCAGAUGGGAGACUACCUGGGAAUACUGGGUUUGUAGGAAAAA
ensembl:rRNA predicted gene, 24009